UGGGGAAUAUUGCACAAUGGGCGAAAGCCUGAUGCAGCGACGCCGCGUGAGGGAUGACGGCCUUCGGGUUGUAAACCUCUUUCAGCAGGGAAGAAGCGAAAGUGACGGUACCUGCAGAAGAAGCGCCGGCUAACUACGUGCCAGCAGCCGCGGUAAUACGUAGGGCGCAAGCGUUGUCCGGAAUUAUUGGGCGUAAAGAGCUCGUAGGCGGUUAGUCGCGUCUGCUGUGAAAACUCGAGGCUCAACCUCGGGCUUGCAGUGAGUACGGGCUGACUAGAGUGCGGUAGGGGUGACUGGAAUUCCUGGUGUAGCGGUGGAAUGCGCAGAUAUCAGGAGGAACACCGAUGGCGAAGGCAGGUCACUGGGCCGCAACUGACGCUGAGGAGCGAAAGCAUGGGGAGCGAACAGGAUUAGAUACCCUGGUAGUCCAUGCCGUAAACGUUGGGCACUAGGUGUGGGGUCCAUUCCACGGAUUCCGUGCCGCAGCAAACGCAUUAAGUGCCCCGCCUGGGGAGUACGGCCGCAAGGCUAAACUCAAAUGAAUUGACGGGGUCAUAGCUGUUUCCUG
rnacentral:rRNA from 1 species